ensembl:lncRNA
CAGUACUAGGGCCGUUACUUUUCACACUUUACAUGUUACCCCUGGGAGAUUAGAUUAUGCAGAUGACACUCAGCUCUAUAUUUCUUCACGGCCCGGCAAACAUACCAAUUUGAAAAAUGAACGGAAUGCAUUGUCGAUAUAAAAACUGGAAGACGGGUCAUUUCUUACUGAUAAAUUCUGAAAAAAACAGAGAUGUUAAUAGCAGGGUUUCAGUCACAUGAUUAUGAUGAUGCGCAUGGGCGGGAAGAAGGCAGAUGGAGGGCAGGAAGUAAACAUGGAGAAUACGUCUAUAGAGGAAACUGUUGCAGAGAGUCAGUAUUGUACGGAUUUAGAUCCAGUUUCGAGACAUAGAUACAAGGAGUUAAUUAACAGAUAUGUUGGACAUGACCCGCACCUCAUGAAGAUGAAUGAGUUUUCAGUAGAACUGAAAGAUUUACCGACAGUUGAGGCUGUUGACUUCACCAACUAUCUGGUCCUUCAGACAUUGUACUACACCAGACAGCAAAUGAAGGCCUAUAAAAGUCUGGAGGCAUACAACUUUUUUGUCAACAGGUGGGUCCACAACCUCGGUGUCAAACGGCUCCACGAUGAUCAUUGUUUGGUCUUUGCCAGAGUAAACCACUCUCAGAGGUCAAGCGACACACCUCUGAAGACCUAGAUUAUUGCGAAGGAGGAUGGAGAAGUCAUUGCAGCUCAUUGCAAUUGCAUGGCAGGGUACGUAAUGGAGAAGUCAUUGCAGCUCAUUGCAAUUGCAUGGCAGGGUACGUAAUUUGGCUAGAUUGUUUACAACGAGAUCUCACACACACACACACACACACACACACACACACACACACACACACACCGUACUGGUAGCAUACUGUGUACUUCAGAACCAGCGGAGAGAGAGCUUUAAGGAAUAAAGAUGUUGAUUAAUGUAAAAUGCUACUCCAUCCAUAUUAGUAUAAGUAGGCUAUAUUGCACAUCAUCAAAAUGUGCUGAUAUACUGUAUAUGGCACUUUGCCACUUGUGCAGUUUGCAUUUGAGGUUUAAAAAAUGUCAUAUUGUAUUCUGUUCACAGACUAUCAGAAUCGUGUUCUCAUGUAGGGGCAGUUCUUUUUUCCAUUGAAGUUGGGGUUAAGAUGCAAGAUUCAGCUUCCUGCAAAACAGAGCAGUGCAAGUGGCUGAUCCUAUCACAUGUAAAAAAGGUAAGGUGACACAUUCACAGCAAACCAAAUGUGGGACAGAGAAUGUUAUUUUGGGACACUGUUUAACAGUAGGCUAAAUUAUGAUGUUAAUAAAUUAAAGGGAUAGUUCACCCAAAAAUGAAAAUUCUGUCAUCAUUUACUAACUCUCAUGUUGUUACAAACCCACAUAAAUUUCUUUGUUCUGGUGAACACAAAGGAAGACAUUUUGAGAAAUGUUCGUAACCAAACCGUUUGUGGACCCCAUUUACUUACAUAGUAUUCCUUUAUCCUGCUAUGGAAGUAAAUGGGGUCCACGAACGGUUUAAUUACAAACAUUUUUCUAAACAUCUUCCUUAGUGUUCAUCAGAACAAAGAAACUUAUGUGGGUUUGUAACAACAUGAGAGUGAGUAAAUGAUGACAGAAUUUUCAUUUUGGGUGAACUAUCCAUUUUUGAUGUCUAUAUUGUGCCCCUUUGGUUAUGUCUUUGCUCUAGUUAAUUCAUCAGGACACAACAUACAGUAGACAAGUAGAUUGCUUGUCUUCAUCUACAUUUCCUCCUCUAUGAGGGGAUUUUCAUUAUAUUUCAUCAUACCUAAUGUCGGGGAUUAUUAAAGUAUUUCUAUUCUAUAUUCUGCCUUAAUCUGUGUAGCUUGUGACAUUGUGGUCAGUCACAAUUUCCCUGUUGGGCAAAGAGGAGUUAAGACAACAAAGACCCACAUAAAUACAGUUUGGCAUCUCAAUCCUGUGAUGAUAGCCUUACCUGUUUUCCUCACAGCCAUCGGAUAAAGGCAGAUUUAAACUGCAUAUAGAAAUGUUGUGGACCACAGAAAUGUGGCGUUAAUGAUCUUCUUUGUGUUAACUUAUUUUCAGAUUCCUGCUGCUCCAGUAGCUCUGAUUGACUUCUCAUCAGCAAAAGCAAAAAUAAAAAAUAAAAAAAAUAAAGCUUGACUGUUCCAUUGAUGGCAGGACAACUGACAACAAGGUUGGGAAAUCACUUCCAUGCCCAAGAGUGAAGAGAGGGUCAGAAACAUAUGCUAGGUUUUUUGAGACAUUAAACUAAAACUGUCCAAGGAGUGAAGCACUGAUGGCUAGGGAGCCUUACCACAAAUAAUUCAUCCCCAAAUCUUGCAUGCUUCCUAAAUCUGUUCUUGAAUACAGAACACCAGAUACUCUGCAGCUACCCCCCAAAGAGCUUGGAGAGCUAUGCCAGGAUUUCCAGCUAGAAGAGCUCACCCUGUCUCAGGUCCAGGCUGUAGAGAGGGCAACUCGAAGUCAGAGUGCAAGCAGGGUUUGGUUUAGGCAAAGAGCAGGACGUAUAAUGGCCUCAAAGCUGAAACAAGUUCUUAAGACCAACCCCCAGCAGCCAUCCAAGAGCUUGAUCAAGGGCAUAUGCUACCCAGAAGCAUAUAGGUUCACCACAGCCGCUGCAAGGUAUUUAGGGUUUGAAUUAGAGUAAGGCAAAGGUUAGAUUUGGGGUAUGAGGCUUGAACAAAUGAGAUAUGAACAAAUGUUUACUGUUUUCAUAGUUGAUUCAAGGUAUGGACAGCCCUGAAAGAUCAACAUUAGUUAUAGGGUUAUAAGACUAGGGUUAUGCAGGAUUAGAACUAAGUAUAGGGGUUAGGUUAAUGGCAUUUAAAUCACUGAACUUGCUCUACACAUGCAAUACAAAGUAAUAAUUUCAGUUUCAUGUGUUGCAUGUGUACUGUGUACAGUUAUAGAUGCAAACAUGAACCACAAGCCAGAAGAGCAUAUGAGAAGCUGAUGGUUCGGGAGCAUGCAGGCUUCUCCUGUAAGGGCAGUGGUCUCUGGCUGAACACCAAGUGGCCAUACAUGGGGUCCUCCCCUGAUGGGAUUGUCGCUUGUGACUGUCACAAAACUGAAAUCUGCGAGAUUGAGGUAAAUUUACAGUCUCUUUUGUAGUAAAUUUAGUAUAUCUCGAGUAUGAGUCAAGUCUCAAGUCCUAAACUGAGCAAAAAGGCAGAAAUUAUCUUUGUUAAAGGAAAACGAAUCUU